rnacentral:lncRNA from 1 species
AUAAUUGAAGAAUAUUUUAUCAAAAAUCAGUUUGUUAUAUUUCUAUUUACUUGAUAUUUUUCUAGAAUUUAUUUUAUCUGUGAGAAUACUAUCUGGAAAUACUAACUGUGAUUGAUUGUUGAUCAAUUUCUUUCAGAAAGCAAAGGUAUUUAUUUUGAGAUUCUGGAAAGAAACCAGAAUUAAGCCUCCAAAAAGGCUGACUCCAAAGGAAUCUUAAUAAUAUAAUAAUUCCUGAUAGGAACAGACCCAUUAGGGAAGAGAGAUGUUAAGGGCUGAGUUAGCUGGGGUUGAAGGAAGCCACUACAAUCAAAACACCAAAGCUAUAAUUUUCUAUCUCCUCUCAAUGGAAGAAUGACCAUUUAAGAGCCAGGAUAAAGAUUUUCCCUUUAUUCUAAAUUCCAUACCUUCCAACCACUUUAGAGACUUCAAUCCAGUAACUAUCCCCCGUCUCUUUAUCUUUGAUCUCUCUCCAUGAUCUUUUCUCUUUUGUGCAUAAGCUUUCCCUCUGUGUUCCUGGUUUAUUUGUUUCUAACUAUUGCCCAUCCCUCUCUUUCCUUGGCAUCUGUAAUCCUAAGACUGAUUUCGUGUGCUAUUUUCCACUUUUUCAUCUUUUAUUUAUUCCUCAUCUAUUACUACCAUUAAACUCAAACUGCUUUUAUCACAAUUGCCAUGGCCAGGCAUCUGCCUCAGAGCAUCAGCUGCUGUGAUCUUCACACUGUUUGAACUCAUCAGAUGCUGGCUUGUUAGAUUGACUACUCACUUAUUCUUGAAUCCUUUUCACCUCUCCACCCCCCGCUCCCUGCACACACACAGAAUUUAACUAUCCCUCUGAUUCCAUUCCCUUUUUUUCUCCAUUUACCACUCAAUCCACUUUGAAGUGACUUUUUCCCUAUCUCUUUUUUAUUGUAACCAAUGAAAUCACCAUGCUAGCAAAUCAUACAGCUAGAAAUUGAACACAGUUUCCCUGGUCCCAAACCCAUGCUGUUUCUGUUAUAUGACUCUGUAAAAAAUGUAAUGUCACAUUCAUCAUUUUAAAUUCUCAAUCUAUAUAGGGAAUUUAAUAUAGACUAUAAAUUACUGUAGCCCUUUUUAUUGAUACAAAGGCAAUUUUUAGAAGUCGAUGCAUAUAAACCCAGUAAAAAUCAAUAAAACUACUGUAAUCCUUUCUCCCUUCUUACUCUGAGACUUCCUACAUGAUUUUGGCUGGCACAUUUAUUAAAAUCAAUUUUAUUGAGUUCUAAUUCUUGCUUUUACAUUUUGAAAUUUUUAAUUUGUUACUAAAAUAUAAUAUGCAGGGGAGGUAAUUGAAUGCAAAAGACUAUUUUAUAAAAGACUUCAAAUUUGGGUUUAUUUGAUAUCUCUAAUAUUUGAUAGGGUAUUAUAAACCUAUCUUAAAAAUGAAACUCAUAGGUAAAAGUUUCAAGUGAUGAAAAGACCUUAAUUAGGGCAGCCCGGGUGGUUCAGCAGUUUAGCGCCACCUUCAGCCCAGGGCGUGAUCCUGGAGACCUGGGAUAGAGUCCCACAUCAGGUUCCCUACAUGGAGCCUGCUUCUCCCUCUGCCUCUGUGUGUGUGUGUGUCUCUCAUGAAUACAUAAAUGAAAAUCUUUAAAUCUAAAAAAAAAAAAAA